rnacentral:misc_RNA from 1 species
UAAUUUGUUACACAGAAAUAGAUUACGUUGGCAUACUCCGGUGGAGCACUGAGGGUCGUCAACGAAAUUGGACAACAUUUGGUAAUUUUGUUUGUUGUAUUCGAUGUGAACAUGAUUACUUCGAACAAUUCCCGUAAAUGCAAGCAAACAAACGUGUGCUGAAUCUACUAGCGUUUUGGAAUAUCCUGUAUAAUUACACGUUUAUUCACAGCUGAUUUAUUAAUUAACUUAUUGCAGAUUUUCAUGCACUUAUGAGAAAUCUAAAGAUGCAGUAAUGCAAGAAAUAUCUAAUGUAGUCGUUAUAAUGAUUCGUAAGAUUUU